GUGGGGAAUAUUGCGCAAUGGGCGAAAGCCUGACGCAGCGACGCCGCGUGUGGGAUGAAGGUCUUCGGAUUGUAAACCACUGUCGGGAGGGACGAAGCUCUGACGGUACCUCCAAAGGAAGCACCGGCUAACUCUGUGCCAGCAGCCGCGGUAAUACAGAGGGUGCGAGCGUUGUCCGGAAUCACUGGGCGUAAAGGGCGCGUAGGCGGCCGAGUAAGUAGGGGGUGAAAUCUCACAGCUCAACUGUGAGGCUGCCUCCUAAACUGCUUGGCUUGAGCACAGUAGAGGCGAGUGGAAUUCCCGGUGUAGCGGUGGAAUGCGUAGAGAUCGGGAAGAACAUCGGUGGCGAAGGCGGCUCGCUGGGCUGUAGCUGACGCUGAGGCGCGAAAGCGUGGGGAGCAAACAGGAUUAGAUACCCCAGUAGUCC
rnacentral:rRNA from 1 species